rnacentral:rRNA from 1 species
GAUGAACGCUAGCGGCAGGCCUAAUACAUGCAAGUCGAACGGGGUCCAGAUCAAAGCUUGCUUUGGUUUGGUGAGAGUGGCGCACGGGUGCGUAACGCGUGAGCAACCUACCCUUGUCAGGGGGAUAGCCCGGCGAAAGUCGGAUUAAUACCGCAUGACAUCAUUGAGAGGCAUCUUUCGAUGAUCAAAGAUUUAUCGGACAAGGAUGGGCUCGCGUGACAUUAGCUAGUUGGUAAGGUAACGGCUUACCAAGGCUACGAUGUCUAGGGGCUCUGAGAGGAGAAUCCCCCACACUGGUACUGAGACACGGACCAGACUCCUACGGGAGGCAGCAGUAAGGAAUAUUGGUCAAUGGACGGAAGUCUGAACCAGCCAUGCCGCGUGCAGGAAGACGGCCCUAUGGGUUGUAAACUGCUUUUAUACGGGAACAAACGUCGGUACGUGUACCGGUCUGAGUGUACCGUAAGAAUAAGGAUCGGCUAACUCCGUG